UUUUAUUUUAUUUAUAAAAGAAGUCUCAAGAAUCGUAUAACAUUAUUAGCGACAGAACAUCUCUGAAGACGAUAACUUGGUUAUCGAAACGCGGAAUGCACUAUCGCGGGAGAAGAAGACAGUGUAAUUGUAAGUGUUGGUGUACUGUAUUCAGUAUGAAUAUCUCCAACGGUUCCAGAAAUUCCAACUUAGUUGUGAUGACUCCACGGUCAACGGAUCGAAACAGAUAUGUCAGAAGAAAAGAAGUCGAGU